ACUGCUCAGUAACACGUGGAUAACCUGCCCUUGGGUCCGGCAUAACCCCGGGAAACUGGGGAUAAUUCCGGAUAACGCACAUAUGCUGGAAUGCUUUAUGCGUAAAAUGGAUUCGUCUGCCCAAGGAUGGGUCUGCGGCCUAUCAGGUAGUAGUGGGUGUAAUGUACCUACUAGCCUACGACGGGUGCGGGUUGUGAGAGCAAGAGCCCGGAGAUGGAUUCUGAGACAUGAAUCCAGGCCCUACGGGGCGCAGCAGGCGCGAAAACUUUACAAUGCGGGAAACCGUGAUAAGGGGACACCGAGUGCCAGCGUCAUACGCUGGCUGUCCAGGUGUGCAAAAUACACCUGUUAGCAAGGGCCGGGCAAGACCGGUGCCAGCCGCCGCGGUAACACCGGCGGCCCGAGUGGUGAUCGUGAUUAUUGGGUCUAAAGGGUCCGUAGCCGGUUUGGUCAGUCCUCCGGGAAAUCUGACAGCUCAACUGUUAGGCUUUCGGAGGAUACUGCCAGACUUGGAACCGGGAGAGGUAAGAGGUACUACAGGGGUAGGAGUGAAAUCUUGUAAUCCCUGUGAGACCACCUGUGGCGAAGGCGUCUUACCAGAACGGGUUCGACGGUGAGGGACGAAAGCUGGGGGCACGAACCGGAUUAGAUACCCGGGUAGUCCCAGCCGUAAACGAUGCUCGCUAGGUGUCAGGCAUGGCGCGACCGUGUCUGGUGCCGCAGGGAAGCCGUGAAGCGAGCCACCUGGGAAGUACGGCCGCAAGGCUGAAACUUAAAGGAAUUGGCGGGGGAGCAC
rnacentral:rRNA from 1 species